GACCGCAGCCUCCAGUCUCAGAGCUCCACGGGCACCUCGGGUCCUCCCGUUACCUCCCAGCAUGCACCUGGCCCAGCUCAACCAGACAGGACAGCCUUGAUCCCAGCCCACACCCUGGCUCCCCGUUCAGCAGCCCCUAUGUCCUGCUCCUGGUCCUGGAGCUGCCCCUGCUCCUGAGCGUGCUGGGUGCUGUCCUGUGGGUGAACAGACCUCAGAGAAGCUCUAGAAGCAGGCAGAGUUGGCCAGAGGGUGAGAACCAGUAGCAUCUGCUGUCCUUCAAGGCCCUGCACUGAGACAGAACCCCUCUGCGGGACUGGAAUGACCUCCUGACCACUCCCUCCCGGGCUGCUCUGUCCGCCUCUCCUGGAAUUCUCUGUGAGCCUCCUUUUCCCUGUGCCUGAUCCUCGAGUCACACGUGAACCUGAUGGACACGGACGCCCUGAGCUGUGACUCCAUGUCUCAUGUGAACGCGCUGGCCAGCUGAACCUCAGGCUGUCACCAACACCUCCAAGUGCCUGAUGCCCUCUCUGCACCUUUCCAUUUCUCCAGGAGCUUGGCAUUGCUUCCUUCACCAUUUUCACAGGGAGAGGCAGGUCCAAGACUCCACUGCACCUUUACCACCAUAAUGGCCCACACUCCCCGGGUCCAGGAGUGCAGAAUAUGUGGCUGCUGCCAUUUGCUGAGUGUGUCAAUCCAACGAUGCUUUCGAACUUUAAGAAAUGACAAUACAUAGAUUCUGGAACUAUCAUGCCCACUAAGUCAGACCUGGGUGAGAA